rnacentral:pre_miRNA from 1 species
UCACAAAGGGCCUGAUCCAAAGCCCACAGAAGUGAGUGGGAGUCUUUCCACUGAUUUCAGUGGACUUUGGAUCACACCCUAGGUGA